GGCGGUGUCUUACGUCUGUGAUGGCACGAAACUGGACAUUGAUCGCUUUCACGUUGUUAGUACGCUGAUCUGUCAGUGGCUCCCGUCACAACCAGGUAGAUAGUUGGUAGUCGGUGGCAAAGUUCCAGAUGCACGGGCGACGGGCCCAGACGCACUGUUGAGCUCUCCAUUGGCUACCAAGAUCUGCCAACUUUCAAAAUUGUUGGUUAGCUCUUACUUGAUAGCUUAGCUUCGGAUUCAAUUCAAUUACUUGUUCAGAACGCUUCCAUGGCUAAGGGCACUUGUCGAGCAAGUCGGCCCAUUUUUUGC
rnacentral:snRNA from 1 species